AUUGAACGCUGGCGGCAGGCUUAACACAUGCAAGUCGAGCGGGGGAAAGUACUUCGGUACUGACCUUAGCGGCGGACGGGUGAGUAAUACUUAGGAAUCUGCCUAUUAGUGGGGGACAACAUUCCGAAAGGAAUGCUAAUACCGCAUACGCCCUACGAGGGAAAGCAGGGGAUCUUCGGGCCUUGCGCUAAUAGAUGAGCCUAAGUCGGAUUAGCUAGUUGGUGGGGUAAAGGCCUACCAAGGCGACGAUCUGUAGCGGGUCUGAGAGGAUGAUCCGCCACACUGGGACUGAGACACGGCCCAGACUCCUACGGGAGGCAGCAGUGGGGAAUAUUGGACAAUGGGCGGAAGCCUGAUCCAGCCAUGCCGCGUGUGUGAAGAAGGCCUUUUGGUUGUAAAGCACUUUAAGUGGGGAGAAAGGUUCGCCGGCUAAUACCCGGCGGAAGUGAUGUUACCCACAGAAUAAGCACCGGCUAACUCUGUGCCAGCCGCCGCGGUAAAAC
rnacentral:rRNA from 1 species